rnacentral:tRNA from 2 species
GCAGUCGUGACCGAGUGGUUAAGGCGAUGGGCUAGAAAUCCAUUGGGGUCUCCCCGCACAGGUUCGAAUCCUGUUGACUGCG